rnacentral:rRNA from 1 species
AUUGAACGCUGGCGGCAGGCUUAACACAUGCAAGUCGAGCGGGGGAAGUUGCUUCGGUAAUUGACCUAGCGGCGGACGGGUGAGUAAUACUUAGGAAUCUGCCUAUUAAUGGGGGACAACAUCUCGAAAGGGAUGCUAAUACCGCAUACGCCCUACGGGGGAAAGCAGGGGAUCACUGGUGACCUUGCGUUAAUAGAUGAGCCUAGGUCGGAUUAGCUAGUUGGUGGGGUAAAGGCUUACCAAGGCGACGAUCUGUAGCGGGUCUGAGAGGAUGAUCCGCCACACUGGGACGGAGACACGGCCCAGAAGCCUACGGGAGGCAGCAGUGGGGAAUAUUGGACAAUGGGGGGAACCCUGAUCCAGCCACGCCGCGUGUGUGAAGAAGGCCUUAUGGUUGUAAAGCACUUUAAGCGAGGAGGAGGCUCUUUUGGUUAAUACCCAAGAUGAGUGGACGUUACUCGCAGAAUAAGCACCGGCUAACUCUGUGCCAGCCGCCGCGGUAAAAC